rnacentral:rRNA from 1 species
UUCCGGUUGAUCCUGCCGGACCCCACCGCUAUCGGGGUGGGACUAAGCCAUGCAAGUCGAAGGUCCCCGGCUCCGGGGGCCUGGCAGACGGCUCAGUAACACGUGGCCAACCUACCCUCGGGAGGGGGACACCCCCGGGAAACUGGGGCCAAUCCCCCAUAGGGGAGGGGCGCUGGAAGGCCCCCUCCCCCAAAGGGAUCGGCCGAUCCGCCGCCGUCCGCCCGAGGGUGGGGGCACGGCCCAUCAGGUAGUUGGCGGGUUAAAGGCCCGCCAAGCCGAAGACGGGUAGGGGCGGUGAGAGCCGCGAGCCCCGAGAUCGGCACUGAGACAAGGGCCGAGGCCCUACGGGGUGCAGCAGGCGCGAAUACUCCGCAAUGCGGGCAACCGCGACGGGGCUACCCCGAGUGCCGGGCGAAGAGNCCCGGCUUUUGCCCGGUCUAAAAAGCCGGGAGAAUAAGCGGGGGGCAAGUCUGGUGUCAGCCGCCGCGGUAAUACCCGCUCCCCGAGUGGUGGGGACGCUUAUUGGGCCUAAAGCGCCCGUAGCCGGCCCGGCAAGUCGCUCCUGAAAUCCCCGGGCUCAACCCGGGGGCGGGGGGCGAUACUGCCGGGCUAGGGGGCGGGAGAGGCCGCCGGUACUCCGGGGGUAGGGGCGAAAUCCGUUAAUCCCCGGAGGACCACCAGUGGCGAAAGCGGGCGGCCAGAACGCGCCCGACGGUGAGGGGCGAAAGCCGGGGGAGCAAAGGGGAUUAGAUACCCCUGUAGUCCCGGCCGUAAACGAUGCGGGCUAGCUGUCGGCCGGGCUUAGGGCCCGGCCGGUGGCGAAGGGAAACCGUUAAGCCCGCCGCCUGGGGAGUACGGCCGCAAGGCUGAAACUUAAAGGAAUUGGCGGG